AACGAACGCUGGCGGCGUGCUUAACACAUGCAAGUCGAACGCGAAAGUUUUCUUCGGAAGAUGAGUAGAGUGGCGCACGGGUGAGUAACGCGUAAAUAAUCUACCCCUGCAUUUGGGAUAACCCACCGAAAGGUGAGCUAAUACCGGAUACGUUCUUUUGAUCGCGAGAUUAGGAGAAGAAAGGUGGCCUCUGAUAUAAGCUACUGUGCGGGGAGGAGUUUGCGUACCAUUAGCUAGUUGGUAGGGUAAUGGCCUACCAAGGCAACGAUGGUUAGCGGGUCUGAGAGGAUGAUCCGCCACACUGGAACUGGAACACGGACCAGACUCCUACGGGAGGCAGCAGUGAGGAAUAUUGCGCAAUGGGGGAAACCCUGACGCAGCGACGCCGCGUGGAUGAUGAAGGC
rnacentral:rRNA from 1 species